UGGGGAAUAUUGGACAAUGGGCGAAAGCCUGAUCCAGCCAUGCCGCGUGAGUGAAGAAGGCCUUCGGGUUGUAAAGCUCUUUUAGUCGGAAAGAAAGAGUUGCAAUGAAUAAUUGUGAUUUAUGACGGUACCGACAGAAAAAGCACCGGCUAACUACGUGCCAGCAGCCGCGGUAAUACGUAGGGGGCGAGCGCUAAUCGGAAUUACUGGGCGUAAAGGGUGUGCAGGCGGUUUUGCAAGUUAGAGGUGAAAGCCCCGGGCUUAACCUGUGAAUUGCGUUUGAAACUGCAAGGCUUGAGUGCAGCAGAGGGGAGUGGAAUUCCAUGUGUAGCAGUGAAAUGCGUAGAGAUGUGGAAGAACACCGAUGGCGAAGGCAGCUCCCUGGGUUGACACUGACGCUCAUGCACGAAAGCGUGGGGAGCAAACA
rnacentral:rRNA from 1 species